AUUGAACGCUGGCGGCAUGCCUUACACAUGCAAGUCGAACGGCAGCACGGGUGCUUGCACCUGGUGGCGAGUGGCGAACGGGUGAGUAAUACAUCGGAACAUGUCCUGUAGUGGGGGAUAGCCCGGCGAAAGCCGGAUUAAUACCGCAUACGAUCUACGGAUGAAAGCGGGGGACCUUCGGACCUCGCGCUAUAGGGUUGGCCGAUGGCUGAUUAGCUAGUUGGUGGGGUAAAGGCCUACCAAGGCGACGAUCAGUAGCUGGUCUGAGAGGACGACCAGCCACACUGGGACUGAGACACGGCCCAGACUCCUACGGGAGGCAGCAGUGGGGAAUUUUGGACAAUGGGCGAAAGCCUGAUCCAGCAAUGCCGCGUGUGUGAAGAAGGCCUUCGGGUUGUAAAGCACUUUUGUCCGGAAAGAAAUCCUUGGCCCUAAUACAGUCGGGGGAUGACGGUACCGGAAGAAUAAGCACCGGCUAACUACGUG
rnacentral:rRNA from 1 species